AAAAGCUCACUGUUUGAGGAAAUACAUGAGGAUGAAACGGUACUUCAAGCCUCAACAGACUGGUCGACCCGAAAGAGCCUCAUAUCAGGGUGGUGGGAGAAAGAGAGACCCCGACUGGUCAACACCAUGGUGGCUCGACAACAUGCGGCAACUCGGAUCUGCCAACAUUGUGGAAAUGGUCCAGCCGUAAUCCGUUGUUGUGACUGCCGACCACACCCAUUCCUCUGUGGCCAGUGUGAUGUCAGGGUCCACCGAGGUCAAGUGUUCCACAACAGGGAUUCGAUGACACAUGCAUUCUUUCAUCCAUUGCCUCCCACAACUUGUGUUGUGGAGAGGGUUCUAACCCAGUGUGAGCGUCUUGUACCUUUGGAGAUGCCAGAGACAAUAUGCAGUUGUCUACGAGUAUCGUCCAGUGUCAUCGCAGGACAGUCCAUAGUUGUGGUUACAAUGAAUGGGCGAUAUGAUCUCAGAUUGCCUCAGAUUAGAGGCAAAGCAUGUGAAGCCACUUGGAGUCCUGGAGUGGAUGACCUGAUCCGUAAUGACUACUGGCCUGCCACUUCUCACUAUUCAACUGUGUAUGCAACAGAUGUCCUUUUUUCUUUUGAAGAGCUGAAGAUGGCAGCACCAGGGAUGUCUAGCCAAGCAUUUCUUAGAAUGCUGGAUCAACGCACUGUUCGCUUUGGCCGUUUUGCACUGAGACAUUUCCAAAAAAAAAAAAAA
ensembl:lncRNA